rnacentral:rRNA from 1 species
GACGAACGCUGGCGGCGUGCUUAACACAUGCAAGUCGAGCGAUGAAGCACCUUCGGGUGUGAAUUAGCGGCGAACGGGUGAGGAACACGUGAGACAUCUGCCUUCAACACUGGGAUAACUCCGGACAACCGGGGCCAAUACCGGAUAUGAAACAUGCCGUCAUCCGCGGCCUUGGACAGUUCUUCGGUUGAAGAUGAUCUCGCGGCCUAUCAGCUUGUUGGUGAGGUAAUGGCACACCAAGGCGACGACGGGUAGCCGGCCUGCGAGGGCGACCGGCCACACUGGGACUGAGACACGGCCCAGACUCCUACGGGAGGCAGCAGUGGGGAAUAGUGGGCAAUGGAGGAAACUCUGACCCAGCGACGCCGCGUGCGGGAUGAAGGCCUUCGGGUUGUAAACCGCUUUCAGCAGGGAAGAAGCGAAAGUGACGGUACCUGCAGAAGAAGCACCGGCUAACUAUGUGCCAGCAGCCGCGGUAA